rnacentral:rRNA from 1 species
GACGAACGCUGGCGGCGUGCUUAACACAUGCAAGUCGAACGAUGAAGCCGGAGCUUGCUCUGGUGAAUUAGUGGCGAACGGGUGAGUAACACGUGAGUAACCUGCCCUUGACUCUGGGAUAACUGCGGGAAACUGUAGCUAAUACCGGAUACGACCCUCGGAGGCAUCUCCUGGGGGUGGAAAGAAUUUCGGUCAAGGAUGGACUCGCGGCCUAUCAGCUAGUUGGUGAGGUAAAGGCUCACCAAGGCGACGACGGGUAGCCGGCCUGAGAGGGUGACCGGCCACACUGGGACUGAGACACGGCUCAGACUCCUACGGGAGGCAGCAAUGGGGAAUAUUUCACAAUGGGCGCAAGCCUGAUGCAGCAACGCCGCGUGAGGGAUGACGGCCUUCGGGUUGUAAACCUCUUUUAGUAGGGAAGAAGCGAAAGUGACGGUACCUGCAGAAAAAGCACCGGCUAACUACGUGCCAGCAGCCGCAGUAA